rnacentral:rRNA from 1 species
AUUGAACGCUGGCGGCAUGCUUUACACAUGCAAGUCGAACGGCAGCGCGGGCUUCGGCCUGGCGGCGAGUGGCGAACGGGUGAGUAAUGCAUCGGAACGUGCCCAGUAGUGGGGGAUAGCCCGGCGAAAGCCGGAUUAAUACCGCAUACGACCUGAGGGUGAAAGCGGGGGACCGAAAGGCCUCGCGCUAUUGGAGCGGCCGAUGUCGGAUUAGCUAGUUGGUGGGGUAAAGGCUUACCAAGGCGACGAUCCGUAGCUGGUCUGAGAGGACGACCAGCCACACUGGGACUGAGACACGGCCCAGACUCCUACGGGAGGCAGCAGUGGGGAAUUUUGGACAAAGGGGGCAACCCUGAUCCAGCCAUGCCGCGUGCGGAAAGAAGGCCUUCGGGUUGUAAACCGCUUUUGUUCGGGAAGAAAUCCUCUGGGCUAAUACCCCGGGGGGAUGACGGUACCGGAAGAAUAAGCACCGGCUAACUACGUG